CCCUUAGAUGUCCUGGGCCGCACGCGCGCUACACUGACGUGUUCAACAAGCCUCCUAGUUCGACAGGAUUUGGGAAAUCUUUGAACGCAUGUCGUGAUAGGGAUAGAUCAUUGCAAUUAUUGAUCUUGAACGAGGAAUUCCUAGUAAACGCGAGUCAUCAGCUCGCAUUGAUUACGUCCCUGCCCUUUGUACACACCGCCCGUCGCACCUACCGAUUGAAUGUUUCGGUGAAGAUUCCGGAUAGGACUUUUUUGAUUUAUUUCAAUUCUGUCUUAAAAGCUAUCUAAACCUCAACAUUUAGAGGAAGGUGAAGUCGUAACA
rnacentral:rRNA from 1 species